rnacentral:lncRNA from 1 species
AAAUAAGAUAUUACCACUAAUGCUAGAUUGGCCAUGAUAGAUUCUGUUCCUCUUGUUUUGAAUUUUCUUUCCUUCUUUAGUCUAUUUCACAUCCAGGGAUAAUCAAUAGUUUGUUUUUCCAUGGUAAGUUACUAUCUGCUACAGUAAGAAAAUAAGUGGUGCAAAGGAAAUAUUUUGGCUCCACUGGAGUAGAGAAGGUUAGCUAAGGCCUGGGGAAUUGAGGAGCUGAGCAAAGAUAAAGUUUCACUUUACCCUGCCUCUUACUACCACUGGUAUCACAAGCUUAGGAAGUUCAAGUAGAAGCAUGCGCAGUCAGUAGGCUUGAGCUUGACAAAAGGAUUUUACAGCACUCGGCAAAAGCAAAUUUUAAUCUCAUGCAAGGUUUCCUCUAAAUGAAUGGAAAUUCAAGGUUUCGGUGAACUUUUGGCCAAUCUUAGUGAAACUGAAAUCCAGACCGCUAUCUUAACUCUCAUCUGCUUUAUCUACCUGUGCAACAAAAAAUUGUUCAUGAGUAGAAAAAGCAAUAGAAUAUACUUUUAAUACAGCAAAGCUUUUACUUCAGAGGAAAUAAUGAGUUCUGAAUUAGGUGGGUCUGGGGCUGGCAGUAUGAUUUUUCUCAUGUGCCCUGUUAGCUCUUUAGUGCUUUGGAUAAGUGAAAUGCAGGAAUGAUAGUCCUGAAUUAACUGAAUGCUAGAGAUGUUAAAGAAGCUAGCCCAUUACAGUGAACUACGCCCUGUGCUACUGAUCCUGAAGAAAGAACCAAGACUGCACCUAAGCUUCUGAGACUAAGUAUCAACCACAGCCGCAAGCAACACCACAGCUGUGACAACACAGGAUCCUUUUAAUCCAACGUGCUGGGCUAGGGAUCAAACCCAUGCCUCUGCAGCAACUGGAACCCGCUACAGUCAGACUCUUAACCCACUGCACCACAGCAAGAACUCCAAGAAUUUUAAGUUUUAAUAAUUUAGAGACUUCAGUUUCUACAAAGAAAGUUAGCUAAUUUUGGUCUUAACCUCUUUUAAAGAAUUUACAAGUGUUUAUACUUUUCAAAUGUGGGAUAUUUUUAUAUUGCUAGACUUUUAGCCUUUGGAUUAGGAAUCAGUAUUUAUUGUGUUAUACUCUGUUUAAUAACAUAAAGUUGGUAAUUACUGAUAUGAGUGAAUUUUUGCUCUGGAAUACAGAAUGGCCAUGAAGUUAAUUCUAUAUAGCCCAUCUUGUUGGUUUAGGUGGAUAUAACAGAGCCAUAGUAUAUGUACUGAGAGAAGAACCUCAUAAAGGUGAGAGCUGAACAUCCUAACUAACUAUAAAUUUACAUUCUAGUCCAAUGGAUUAAGAGAAAAAUGAAUUGAAGAAUGCAAGGGAAGGGGACAUUUUGCCUCCCUUCAGAAUCGCAGGACACUCCCUGUUACACACCUCUCCAAGCCCACUCCUACCAUUUAAUUUUGGGAGUAGCUGUUGCUAAUCUGAUUAGACUGGUUAGAGUUUAAGACAUUUAUUUGGCCAUGUGUACAAGUGAGCCUUGUCAACAUGUACUAAAAGCCAAGAAUCCAUAUUCUAGUAAUUUUAAAUUUCUUUCAUGCUGCUUACUGGAUUAAUUCAGCGAAAUCCAGUGAUAUAAUUUAUCCUGGAUUUUUCUCACUGGAUUCCUACAUGUCUGGAAAUUGUAUAGCCCUAAAAUUUCACAUUUUACUUUAAGAGAAAAUAGAGUACAGUGGUUAAGAGAGCAGGUUCUGGGGAGUUCCUGUCAUGGCUCAGGGGUAACAAAAUUGACUAGUAUUCAUGAGCACAUGGGUUUGAUCGUGGCCUCACUCAGUGGGUUAAAGAUCAGUCAUUGCUGUGAGCUGUGAUGUAGGUGGCAGAUGUGGCUCAGAUCCCACGAUGCUGCAGCCAUGGCGUAGGCUGGCAGGUACAGCUCCAAUUCGACCCCUAGCCUGGGAACUUCCAUGUGCCAUGGGCGGGGCCCUAAAAAGGCAAAAAAGAAAAAAAGAGACCAGGUUUCCUGGAUUCAAAUCUCUAUUUCUGACACUUACUACCUGAUAAAAAGCCUGGGCAACAUAAUGAACCUCCUUAUGCCUGAUUUUGCUCAUCUUAAAAUGAGGAUAAUCAUAGUAUUUCUCUUAUAGGGUUACUGUGACUAUCAAACAAAUUAUUUGUUAGAUGUUAGCUCUCAGAAUAGCCCUUUCAUAAAUGCUAAAUCAUAAUGUUAUAGUAAUACUACUUUGGAAUCAAAGUUUAAGCAAUUGAGCUUCUAUCUAAAAUUUCUGCAUUGGGGGUUACCAGGUACUAGUUAGUGCUUUCUGACAAAAAAAAGUUCAAUGCUUAAUUAUUGUUUUAAUAUGUAAAUAGAGGAGGGAGCAAAGAGGGAUGAUUGACAAGGUAGGAUUACAACAUUUCUACACCCCUAGAAAUCAGCUCACCUGUACCCCAUCUUGCCAGAGUGAAUUCACCGGGCUUUAACAUAAGCUAAUGACCUUGUCUCUAAACCUCAGCAUUGCGUAAUAGAAAGAUAAUGUGGCAUCUAUAUUAAUUAUAAUGCAUUUUAUUCAACUCAAUAUCCAAAUUAUUUUUACAUAUAACCAACAUAAAAUUAAGAUAUUUUGCAUUUUAUAUAAUGCAAUUAUUUAAAACAUAUAUAUGUAGUUUAUACUUACAGCACGUUUCAAUUUGAAAUAGCUACAUUUUAAGUGCUUGAUACUUGUAUGUGGUUAGUGGCCACUGUACUGGACAGCAAAUUCUAGAUCAUACACCUCACUUUGCCCUAAUUUCAUGCUUUAUGAUUUAUCUUUUGACUGUUAAGUCAGGUAACACAUCAGUUUUAUAUCCCUCAAUGUGAGAAAGUAGAUGCCCUAAGUAGUUUAAUAAAAUGUAUAUACUCCAAUGUUUUAGAAUAAUCUUUUCAAGUGAAUUUGGAUACACUUAUCCAUGUAUCAUGGGACUUGAGCUUCCCUGUAUAAGCACACCUUAAAGGUGCUUACAGAGCAGGGAGAACUAUUCUGAGUAACUGAAACCCCUCAAAAUCAUAGUAGUAUCUGAUGUCCAGGCUCACACAGCCAAACUCCUUCUAAAUGUACACUUGUUGAAGUUGAAUCACUGAGAGUAAAAAUAAUUUAAGUUUCAUCCUGAAGUGGAUGAACUUUGCAUCCAUUCAGUUAUGUAUUUUCACCACAGCAGAAAGUUUAUAGGAUUGCGGUAUAAGUUUUCAGAAAAUUACAUUAAAUCUUAAAUUUUGAGCAAUAACCUGACUUUACUUAAAAUCCAAACUACCCUAAAGAAAUCUGUUAAAUUUCUGGCUACAUUUCACAUUGCUAAACAUGGAUGGGCAAUCAACUUCCUAAGUCUUGGGGAUAAUUUUUUAAGAUAUCCAUAAAAUAUAGCAUUUAAAUUGGAAGUCCUCUGAAAGUGAAUGGGACAUGCUAUUAACAGUACAUAAAUUAUAAUAGUUAAAAAUGUCCCUCCCACUGAUAUAAACUAAUAUAUGUGACCACCUUAUAAAUCAUGAUAUACAUCAUGCUGUUACACAGAUGAUUUUUUAUGAAGAAAACCUUUAAAGAUAAAGGUUUAUACUAUUGACUUCUUAAAAUUCUAGAUCCAGCUUGGGGUAAUGGAUUAUAUUCAUGGAAAAUAUCAGAGGCCAGAACCAGAAAUCAGAAGAUCUCAAGGCAUCGUUUCAUCCUAACAUUAUAAACCCAGUUACAGUUGUGAUUUCUUCCCCCUCCACUCAAUUCUGAUAACAGUUUAUCUCUUUUUGAAUCCUGUAAAUGACAUGGAUGGAUUGCAGCAGGCUUAGAUUCAAAUUUUGUUUCUGCUACUUAUACAGUUGAAUGACUUUGGAUAGAUGCUUAAACUUUAGUAUGACUUAGAUGAUACUUAAUCUUUCUGAGAGUCUCCUUUUAGACCUGAGUGAGUGACAGUAUUUAUCUCACAGGAUUGACGUAUUCGUGUCAGGGGAUCACAUAUCCUACAGGCACUGUGAAAUGCAGUACAUACUGACAUCUGUAGAUGCCUAGCUGUCUUCACCACCACAUUACAAAGAAUUUUGUAUUUAAAUCCUGAUCUCUAUCCACUAUCCCUGAGUGAUGUACUGAGUCCAGGGUAUUUGAUUGUGACUCUUGGAUGAAAGUCUUCCUGACAUAUGACAACUGUUGUCUGUCUUUCUCUACCCACAGUUACUCAGAAGUUAAACCUAUGUUUUCCCCUCCCCCUUUCAAUGUUAUGUGCCUCUAACAGAUUUAAUUAAUCUCAAGUCCCCUAAACUUUACCACCUAAAUCACUAAAGAAUCUAUUCUGUCCUUUUUAGUCCCAUUGCUACUUUCUUUUUUAGACCCUCAUUUUUUUUUUUUUUUUUGGUUUUUUUGUUUGUUUGUUCAUCCUAAUUUUGACUACAUCUUCUGACUGGCCUCCCUCUCUUCAUUCUCACAAAUUAACAAUUUACUUUCUGCAGAACACUUGGUUGAUUAUCCUAAAACCUAGAUCUACUUUGUCAUUUCUACUGAUUGAAAUCCCAUAGGAGUUUUUUGAAACGUCCCAUAAAAUACCACACUCCUCAGUAUAGUAUG